GUCAACUCAUUUUUAUUUUAUUUAACCCGGCAAGUCAGUUAAGAAAAAAUUCUUAUUUUCAAUGACGGCCUAGGAACGGAGGGUUAACUGCCUGUUCAGGGGAAGAACGACAGAUUUGUACCUUGUCAGCUCGGGGAUUAGAACUUGCAACCUUUCGGUUACUAGUCCAACGCUCAAACCACUAGGCUACGCUGCCGCCCCUAAGGUGAUAGUCAGUCGGUAAACUAAGACCAAUAUCACAGUCAGUACAACUAAGACCACAUAUCACAGUCAGUACAACUAAGACCACAUAUCACGUGGUCAGUACAACUAAGACCACAUAUCACGUCAGUACAACUAAGACACCUAUCACAGUCAGUCAGUACAACUAAGACCACCUAUCACAGUCAGUCAGUACAACUAAGACCACAUAUCACAGUCAGUUAGUACAACUAAGACCACCUAUCACAGUCAGUCAGUACAACUAAGACCACAUAUCACAGUUAUAGUCAGUACAACUAAGACGACAUAUAUACGACGCACAUGUCAGUACAACUAAGAAACCACAUAUCACAGUUAUAAGUCAGUACAACUAAGACCACAUAUCACAUAUAGUCAGUACACACUAAGACCACAUUCACACUACACGCAGUACAACUAAGACCACAUAUCACAUUCAGUACAACUAAGACCACAUAUCGUACAGUCGUACAACUAAGACAACAUAUACAGUUAUAGUACAGUAUCUAAGACCACCAUAUCAC
rnacentral:lncRNA from 1 species